rnacentral:tRNA from 1 species
GGAGCAAUGGCUUGAGCGGCAGAGCGGUCAGGGCAAUUUCAGUAAGCUAUUGAUUUUAGACAAGAGGAGGCGGCCUGCGAAGCCGUUCAGACCGGUUCGGUUCCGGUUUGCGCGU